rnacentral:rRNA from 1 species
UACGUAGGGUGCGAGCGUUGUCCGGAAUUAUUGGGCGUAAAGAGCUCGUAGGCGGUUUGUCGCGUCUGCCGUGAAAGUCCGGGGCUCAACUCCGGAUCUGCGGUGGGUACGGGCAGACUAGAGUGAUGUAGGGGAGACUGGAAUUCCUGGUGUAGCGGUGAAAUGCGCAGAUAUCAGGAGGAACACCGGUGGCGAAGGCGGGUCUCUGGGCCGAAUACUGACGCUGAGGAGCGAAAGCGUGGGGAGCGAACAGG